AAACUUUCAACAACGGAUCUCUUGGCUCUGGCAUCGAUGAAGAACGCAGCGAAAUGCGAUAAGUAAUGUGAAUUGCAGAAUCCAGUGAAUCAUUGAAUCUUUGAACGCACAUUGCGCCCGCCAGCAUUCUGGCGGGCAUGCCUGUUCGAGCGUCAUUUC
rnacentral:rRNA from 1 species